UUUUCGUUUAGCCAAUAAAUCAACAAAUUUUAUUAUACAAUUAAAAAUAAAUUAACAGAAAAUAUAUUGUUAACAUUAAAAUAAAAUACAAUAUUAUAACCCACUUAAUGAAUCCUUUGAAAUCACCUAUUUACUCUCCCGCACACAUAUUUAAAUACACGCCAUACUUGUUCUGCGCUCCAACCGCCUCACACUUCGGUAAACAUUAAACUCCAAAAUUUAUACAUUUUGAUGCGUUAUCUUUAUGCACAAACAUGCUUGUAAUGCCAGAUUGCGCCGUUUUGUACCUUCGUGUACCGUUUAAUGCAAAUUUCUAAAAAUACUACUGAUUUUUUCGGAAUUUUGUCCCCAAUUUCGUAAUAAAUACUAAACAGUUAAAUGAGUUCAUUUGUCUUUCGGGCAAACAUUUGGCAUUCUACUGUGGUUUCUAGCAGAAAAAAGUGUCAAAAAAGUUCCAUUAAAAUGUCAAUCAAUCAAAUUCUAUCAGCUCGAUCAUCUAAGUUUUUAUAAUUUCGGCGACUUUGUUUACAUUUUGAAAAAUUUGCCAAUUUAUUUUAUCAAGGUGAAUGGCUUUGACUUCUAAGCAAAAUAAAAAUAAAUAAGGUAUACGAUAAGGCAGGAAAUAUUCCAUAAUGAAUUUCAAAUCAUCAGAUCCUUCUAUCAAAAACGACGAAAAUUGCAACAAAAGUAAAAGUCACCAAGUAAAACUUCGAGAAACGCAGUGUAGAGCGUCAGCUUUUGAACAAGUUCUAAAGGCCGUAUAAAGCUCACGUAGAAAAAUAUUGUCAUAAGUAUGAUUCACAGCUAGUUUCAUACAAAAUUUGUUGAAGAAAAUGAGUCCUUAUCAAUUUAUAAGCUGUGUCUCGAAAUAUACGCGGAAUACUGUAACUUACCUCGUUUUUGUAAAAAAUCUUUCUGGAGAUCGGACGUAUUCAGAGUCUAUGUCUUUGCACUAUAAAUCAAGAAGAUUAUAGUAGAAAAAAUUGUUCUCAAAGGCGUCAGCGGCUGUACCUAUCAAAUUCUACAAAAUAUUUGUACCCUAAACGAAGUUUGUAACACCCAGCAGCAAACGUUGGA